GUAUGUGAUAUUGUGUUAUUUAUUCUCUCUCCAACAAUUCUGGAUCGAUUCAGAGAAUUUCAGAAUCGAGUCUGAGCUUAGUUUUUAAACACAGAUGCAAUAUUUCAUAAAGUUCGGGGUUUAACCGAAUUACAAGGACAUUCGCGCGCUUCAUUGCACAGGUUUUGCCGCUUUGCUUGAUGUUAUAACGUUACUCUUGCAGUGCGUGGUCUUGGCCGCCGGAAUUUUCCUUACAAAUCCUCCACGAUGGCAUUAUUUAUGUCUUUUGGAAUGCAGUUGGCUUAUAUAUUAAAAAUAUGAAAAUCCCUGAGAAGGCUGCUUUCAUUUUAAAAUACUUGCGCUCGCUUUGUGAAGAGCGCUCGUGCAUGCGGCUGUGAGCGACUCAUUGGUUAAAUGUACUUGCAUCUCAAAAUGCUUUUAUGACGCGAAAUUAAUGUAAACGGUUAUAUCUUAAACCAACAGGACAAACCACAUUUACAAUUUCAAAAGAGAUAUGUGCAUUAGUGUGAAUGCAGCUUAUCGUAUCUAAACUGAGGGGGGAAAAUCACUCCAGCUCUUAAAUGAAAAACAUUCAGACAGCCUUCUUUUAAAUACUGAAAGCACUCUGUUUAUUGCUUGUAAUGCUUUUUUUUGUUCGUCUUUAUUUACUAGCUUUUAUAUUUUGAAGCUAUAUUAGUUUAUAUAGCCUAUUUAAAAUUCUUAACAUGUAAUUGGUUUAAUUAAAUGUUUUCUUAUAUAUAUAUAUUUUUAAAGUAUGUAUUUUUACACAUGUAAUUAAAUGCAUAUUUUAAGUGUUAUUAAGAUUAAUAAGAAAAAAAGUAGAUCGGAUCAUGAGCUGCCUAAAGAUUCCCAUCCCUACUGUACAAUGAUUUAUUGCUUGUCUUUGUCGACUAAUACAGAAGGUAAAGAACUUAAAGUAAUCGCAUAUUAAAUCGCAAUAUUGGUUAAAAAAA